rnacentral:lncRNA from 1 species
AAGCUAUCUUCACAUCCUCUGGAUAAAAAAGGUUCUCUCUCCACACCAUGAAGCUGCUGCUGAAGGAGGGAAGAGGGCUAGUGUUGGCAAUCCAAGACAGUCUUUUCUACACUCUUCAGUGUCUCGUUAAACUACAUGAAGCUAAAACCAGGCAUCACAACAGGGUGGAAUUGGAGUUGCUCUAUGAAAAAAAGCUGAAGUAUGCAUAGCCUGCCUGAUCACUGGUGUAGAGUCAAAGAAAUAAAGUUUGAACUUGAACAGCAAUGCUUCCUUGGAAUAUUCUCUCCAUGAGGGUUUGGAUGGUAUACUCAUUUGGACAGAAGGUUUCAAAAGAAAGAAGGAGAGAGAGAGGAGAAAAGAAGAAAAGAAAAGAAAAGAAAAGAAAGAAAAGAAAAGAGAAAUGAAAAAAAAAAUAGGAAAACAGGUGAAGACAAUGAACAAAUGGCUCCACUUUUGUAACCAACAGAGGUUCCAGCAUGAUCACAAACAAAACAUCUGACAACUCAAAAAAGUAUCUCCAUGUGUUUCCACACAUGGACCAAUUUGGACUGGAAUGAAAAGUGUGAGCUACCACAAACAGUUCCUCUUCAGGUCAUAUAUGGUGGUCACCCCAACACUAUGCUCUUCUGUAAAACAUUUUACACUUACAGCCUUGUCCAGUUUCUCUCUCCAACAACUUGACUUCCUGUGCUAUAGAUAAGUAUCAAUGCCUCCUCUUUUUUAAAUCACUGUGGCC